GCCCGAGUAGCUCAGUGGCAGAGCAACGCACUCGUAAUGCGUAGGUCGAGGGUUCAACUCCCUCCUCGGGCUCCC
rnacentral:tRNA from 1 species